rnacentral:rRNA from 1 species
UAUUUACUUAAAAACUAAAAAAUUUGGCGGUAAUUUAAUCUUCUCAGAGGAAUUUGUUUCUUAAUCGAUAAACCACGAAGUAUCUUGCUUAUUUAGAAUAAUUAGUUUGUAUACCAUCAUUAUCAGGUAAUUUUAAAAGAAAGAAUUGCUUAAAUUAAUGUUUAUUAAAAAAAUUAGAUCAUGGUGCAGCUUAUGAAUAAGUUGAAAUGGAUUACAAUAAAUUAUUUUAUUUACGGAUUUAUAAAGUAAGAAUUUAUAAUGAAGGAGGAUUUGGUUGUAUUACAAGUUUAAUAAGCUUGUAAGAUAUAUAGGCUCUAAAUUAUGUACAUAUCGCCCGUCGCUUUCACUCAUAGGUGAAAUAAGUCGUAACAUAGUAGAUGUACUGGAAAGUGCAUCUAGAAUUAU